UACAGGGGGGUGCAAACGUUGCUCGGAAUCAUUGGGCGUAAAGCGCACGUAGGCGGUUUGUUUAUGUCGGAUGUGAAAGCCCUUGGCUCAACUGAGGAAGUGCAUCCGAAACUGGCAAGCUAGAGUACUAAAGAGGGUCGCGGAAUUCCCGGUGUAGAGGUGAAAUUCGUAGAUAUCGGGAGGAACACCGGUGGCGAAGGCGGCGACCUGGGUAGAUACUGACGCUGAGGUGCGAAAGCGUGGGGAGCAAACAGGG
rnacentral:rRNA from 1 species